rnacentral:rRNA from 1 species
GACGAACGCUGGCGGCGUGCCUAAUACAUGCAAGUCGAACGCAGUGGGGACGGGUGAGUAACACGUGGGUAACCUCCCAUCAGAGGGGAUAACACUUGGAAACAGGUGCUAAACCGAUACAGAUGGAUGGAGCUGAGGUGCGUUAGCUAGUUGGUGGGGUAACGGCUCACCAAGGCCACGCUGCAUAGCCGACCGGAGAGGGGGAUCGGCCACACGGGGACUGAGACACGGCCCAGACUCCUGCGGGAGGCGGCAGUAGGGAAUCUUCGGCAAUGGACGAAAGUCUGACCGAGCAACGCCGCUUGAGUGAAGAAGGUUUUCGGAUCGUAAAACUCUGUUGUUAGAGAAGCGGUAUCUAACCAGAAAGCCACGGCUAACUACGUGCCAGCCGCCGCGGUAAUUC